GAUACCAUGUCCAGGUGUCUGGCUUAAAGUCUUGUGAAACAAAUGCAUCAGUGGGUAUUUCCUAAAAGCAGAACCUUUUUCAAUCUUAUUGUUAGUGUUUGUGGAGUAUGACAGGGAUGCUACUGGAAAAUGGUGGUUUGAAAAUGGUGCAGCUGUGAAACGGUCCUCCUUCAACAACCACCCUGACUCUGCACUGGCAGAACUCUUUCUUAGGACCACCAGCAAUGAAAGCUUCCCCAGCCUCUUGUGCAGACAGGUUACUUGUACGUUCUCAGGACUGCAGACUAUUAGACAUCUAUUUCUUACAACAGAAGGAUGAUCUUUUUUUAUCAUCACCGCUUCAUCACAGCUUCAACAAGAAGGGUCUGAGACUCAACACUUUGUAUAGCCUUGUUGUCUGGGUUUCUGUGUGCAAAUCUCCUCAACAGCGUGAGACAUCUUCUGCUCUAUAACGAAGAACUUCACCACACAAAUUGCUAAGGAUUGUCCAUCAGAUUGACAUAAUUCUUACAGUAAUAACUUUUGUGUUUAAACGUUAUUCAUACUUCUGUAUCCUAUGAAAAAGUUUUAUAGUCUCAGCAACAAAAGCAGAUACACUGUAAGUACUCUGUAUGCCUUCAAUAUAUCAAUAAAUUGCUAUCUUUUUUUGCUUGAAACAUAUACAAAUCCCAUGCCAGUUUGUUUUAUUAAAUUACAUUUGUUAUUGAUAGGAACUUUGUUUCUGCACUUUAA